UGUGGCUAGGAGUGAAAGGCUAAUCAAACCGGGAGAUAGCUGGUUCUCCCCGAAAUCUAUUUAGGUAGAGCCUCGGACGAAUACUUACGGGGGUAGAGCACUGUUAAGGCUAGGGGGUCAUCCCGACUUACCAACCCUUUGCAAACUCCGAAUACCGUAAAGUAAUAUCCGGGAGACACACGGCGGGUGCUAACGUCCGUCGUGAAGAGGGAAACAACCCAGACCGCCAGCUAAGGUCCCAAAGUCAUAGUUAAGUGGGAAACGAUGUGGAAAGGCCCAGACAGCCAGGAGGUUGGCUUAGAAGCAGCCAUCCUUUAAAGAAAGCGUAAUAGCUCACUGGUCGAGUCGGUCUGCGCGGAAGAUGUAACGGGGCUAAACUAUGCACCGAAGCUGCGGAUUCAACGUUUACGUUGAGUGGUAGGGGAGCGUUCUGUAAGCCGUUGAAGGUGGUCCGGGAGGAUUGCUGGAGGUAUCAGAAGUGCGAAUGCUGACAUGAGUAACGAUAAUGCGGGUGAAAAACCCGCACGCCGGAAGACCAAGGGUUCCUAUCCCAUGUUAAUCAGGGUAGGGUAAGUCGACCCCUAAGGCGAGGCCGAAAGGCGUAGUCGAUGGGAAACGGAUUAAUAUUUCCGUACUUGGUAUAAUUGCGAUGGGGGGACGGAGAAGGCUAAGCAAGCAUGGCGAUGGUUGUCCAUGUGAAAGUGAGUAGGGCGUUUGUUUAGGUAAAUCCGGACGAACAUUAAACCUGAGACACGAGACGAG
rnacentral:rRNA from 1 species